rnacentral:rRNA from 1 species
UAAGGAAUAUUGGUCAAUGGACGCAAGUCUGAACCAGCCAUGCCGCGUGAAGGAUGAAGGUCCUCUGGAUUGUAAACUUCUUUUAUCUGGGACGAAAACGGGAUUUUUAUCUCAAUUGACGGUACCAGAGGAAUAAGCACCGGCUAACUCCGUGCCAGCAGCCGCGGUAAUACGGAGGGUGCGAGCGUUAUCCGGAUUUACUGGGUUUAAAGGGUGCGUAGGUGGGCUUAUCAGUCAGUGGUGAAAUCUCCGAGCUUAACUUGGAAACUGCCGUUGAUACUAUAGGUCUUGAAUUAUCUGGAGGUAAGCGGAAUAUGUCAUGUAGCGGUGAAAUGCUUAGAUAUGACAUAGAACACCAAUUGCGAAGGCAGCUUACUACAUAUAAAUUGACGCUGAGGCACGAAAGCGUGGGGAUCAAACA